CUCUGCCCCGAUGCCCCACCUUCUUCUUCCUCCCUCCCCUGUCUCCCCCAACCAACCGCCGCCACACCCCAAAGCCCUGCCUCGGUGGUUGCCAGAUUCGCACAAGAUAGACUGCUCCCGAGCCUGCCCCACCAAUCGACGGAUCUGGCCAGCCAUGGUCCUGUGCGACCCGGAUGGAUCCGGCCAAAACCACAGCAUUCCACCGUUCUUCCCUCCCUUUGGUGCAUCCGUCUCUUUGGUAGCACCAACAGACGGCGGCUCCCAACCAGAAGGAGGAGGCUGAGGCUGUGGCGCCCUGCCCCCGAGCCUAGGAGCUCCUUCGAUUUGUAGCACACGGGCAGUUCUUUUUUUGAUUUUUUGUUUGUGGAUGCACAUAUGCCGUUCAGAGGGAGCUCUCUCUCUCUCUCUCCCAUCUCCAAUUCCUUCUCGUGCAACACCCCCCAACUGCCACAAAUCUCACAAAAAUGAGUCUCCGUCAUGCAGUUCUUCAAUUUGAUUUUGUUUGUUUUUUGUGUUAUCCAAUUCGGUUCAAUGUUUAUGUGCAUUCAUGUUUGAUUUUUUUGCAGUAGAGAACUGCAGAAAGGAAUGGCUCCGCCCUUGGGUUCACAAUCUCUCCAGUGGGUCUCCGUCGAGCAAUAUGCAGCUUUGUACAGUAUAUUCCUUCCCAGCUUCCCUCAACAAGCAGGCCGGGGCGGCACGCCACGGACAGGCUGACGGCGGCAUCUCGCAGGUCUCCAUCCACUGCUCGUAACUCUCCAUCCACUCACCGAAAUUGAGCAAGUGAUAUACCAGUGGAAAGCUGCUUGGUGGAGCUAUGCAAUGACAUGCACCAAAAACAUGCACACAAAUUCAGAGAGGUCAGAAGCUAUGAAGUACAAGUAUACGAGUACAUGUGUAUCCGUGUAUCUGCGGUUGAUUGUGUGGAAGAGGUGCUCACAGACAGACAAAGUCGAUGCUCGACGGACGCAUGGCCGUCACAGUUCUAAUAGAGGCAGAAUGGAUACAGGCUAGGUCCGGGCAACCGUCCUGAUGUGCCUUGUGCCCUGCUGCUGACCUUCAAUAGGAAAUAACAGAGAACUUGAGUCGCGGUGUAUCAAGCAUCAUGUGUUUGAUUUUUAGAGCAUCCUUGCUUGUAAGGUGGAGUACUAAUCAAAUAUCAAAGGGAACUUAAUAUUUGGAAAUAUAAUUCUAAGUAUCCGUAGGGAGAACUCAACUAGGACUGCUCUUCCAGCCAGACCAUUGCUUCCUUUUCAUAAUUUUUCAUACAGAAAAAAAAUAAGAAAUAGAUGCCAUGACCUGUGCUCAGUGUGGACCGAAGGAAAUUACUCUAGCAUCUGCAAGAACAAGUAAAUGAAUUACCCUAUGCUACUGACGGACUGUCGGGAGGAUUUGUUUUAGUGCGUACGACCAUUUUUGCAUCUCCAUCCAGUCGCAAUUGACGCUGCGACCGCCACGAUGGGAAAUUUGAGCGGCUGCGUCAGGAGGGUUGCAGGCAGUGGUGGUGCGUAGGCAUAAACAUGUACGUACAUUUAUAAUGGAAAGUCAAUCACUGUAUGAACAACAAUCUUCUGAAUUUAUAUGCAAGAACUAUCUGAAGUUUUCUUCCUCUGUUGUACCUGAACUUCAAUUCCAAAAAAAUGGAAAGUGGUCACCGGCGAGUAAAGGGCGGUGAAGGAUCUUGCCAGAUCCGACGACCCUCGAC